rnacentral:rRNA from 1 species
GGGGAAUUUUCCGCAAUGGGCGAAAGCCUGACGGAGCAAUACCGCGUGAGGGAGGAAGGCUCUUGGGUUGUAAACCUCUUUUCUCAAGGAAGAACACAAUGACGGUACUUGAGGAAUAAGCAUCGGCUAACUCCGUGCCAGCAGCCGCGGUAAUACGGAGGAUGCAAGCGUUAUCCGGAAUGAUUGGGCGUAAAGCGUCCGCAGGUGGCUGUGUAAGUCUGCUGUUAAAUAGUGAGGCUCAACCUCAUAAAGGCAGUGGAAACUACACGGCUAGAGUGCGUUCGGGGCAGAGGGAAUUCCUGGUGUAGCGGUGAAAUGCGUAGAGAUCAGGAAGAACACCGGUGGCGAAAGCGCUCUGCUAGGCCGCAACUGACACUGAGGGACGAAAGCUAGGGGGAGCGAAUGGGAUUAGAUACCCCAGUAGUCCUAGCCGUAAACGAUGGAUACUAGGCGUGGCUUGUAUCGACCCGAGCCGUGCCGUAGCUAACGCGUUAAGUAUCCCGCCUGGGGAGUACGCAGGCAACUGUGAAACUCAAAGGAAUUGACGGGGGCCCGCACAAGCGGUGGAGUAUGUGGUUUAAUUCGAUGCAACGCGAAGAACCUUACCAGGACUUGACAUGUCGCGAAUCCUUGCGAAAGCAGGGAGUGCCUUCGGGAGCGCGAACACAGGUGGUGCAUGGCUGUCGUCAGCUCGUGUCGUGAGAUGUUGGGUUAAGUCCCGCAACGAGCGCAACCCUCGUUUUUAGUUGCCAUCAUUAAGUUGGGCACUCUAGAGAGACUGCCGGUGACAAACCGGAGGAAGGUGGGGAUGACGUCAAGUCAGCAUGCCCCUUACGUUCUGGGCUACACACGUACUACAAUGCUACGGACAAAGGGCAGCUACACAGCGAUGUGAUGCUAAUCUCAGAAACCGUAGCUCAGUUCAGAUCGCAGGCUGCAACUCGCCUGCGUGAAGGAGGAAUCGCUAGUAAUUGCAGGUCAGCAUACUGCAGUGAAUUCGUUCCCGGGCCUUGUACACACCGCCCGUCACACCAUGGAAGCUGGUAGUGCCCGAAGUCAUUACCCCAACGAUUCGUCGAGGGGGAUGCCUAAGGCAGGACUGGUGACUGGGGUGAAGUCGUAACAAGGUAGCCGUACCGGAAGGUGUGGCUGGAUCACCUCCU